rnacentral:lncRNA from 1 species
UUUUUGUUUUGUUUUGUAGAAAGCAUCAUAUCUAUUAUAAAAGUUCAUCAAAAGUACCAAGCAUCUCAAAUAUAAUAAAACUAUAUUGAGAUUUUGAGAUCACUGAAAAACCACUACUACAGCGAGAACAUGUUGCCUACGCGUCGUUGUUGUCUCGCCCCUACCAGAAUUGGCUUCACCUUGUCGAUGACAACCAGGAAAUAUUCAUGC